GGAGGGAUGGCCGAGGGGUUUAAGGCAGCGGUCUUGAAAACCGCCGUGGUGGCGACACCACCGUGGGUUCGAAUCCCACUCUCUCCGCCA
rnacentral:tRNA from 1 species